rnacentral:tRNA from 1 species
GCCUGGGUGGCUCAGAGGUUGAGCAUCUGCCUUCGGCUCAGGUCAUGAUCUUGGGGUCCUGGGAUCGAGUCCCACACCGGGCU